GACGAGUCUCACAAACGUUAUUCGGAAUUACUGGGCUUAAAGGGUGCGUAGGCGGUGAAGUAAGUCGGAUGUGAAAUACCUUAGCUUAACUAGGGAACUGCACUCGAUACUACUUUGCUAGAGUAAGACAGAGGUGAGUGGAACUGAGGGUGGAGCGGUGAAAUGCGUUGAUAUCCUCAGGAACACCGGUGGCGAAGGCGACUCACUGGCCCGAUACUGACGCUGAGGUGCGAAAGCGUGGGGAGCAAACAGG
rnacentral:rRNA from 1 species